AGAGUUUGAUCAUGGCUCAGGAUGAACGCUGGCGGCGUGCUUAACACAUGCAAGUCGAACGGAGUUAACCCGCUGACGAGACCUCGGUCAAAUCUUGGGAUAACUUAGUGGCGGACGGGUGAGUAACGCGUGGGUAACCUGCCAUAUACAGGGGGAUAACAGUCAGAAAUGACUGCUAAUACCGCAUAAGCGCACAGUGCUGCAUGGCACAGUGUGAAAAACUCCGGUGGUAUAUGAUGGACCCGCGUCUGAUUAGCUGGUUGGUGAGGUAACGGCCCACCAAGGCGACGAUCAGUAGCCGGCCUGAGAGGGUGAACGGCCACAUUGGGACUGAGACACGGCCCAAACUCCUACGGGAGGCAGCAGUGGGGAAUAUUGGACAAUGGGGGAAACCCUGAUCCAGCGACGCCGCGUGAGUGAAGAAGUAUUUCGGUAUGUAAAGCUCUAUCAGCAGGGAAGAAAAAAAUGACGGUACCUGACUAAGAAGCCCCGGCUAACUACGUGCCAGCAGCCGCGGUAAUACGUAGGGGGCAAGCGUUAUCCGGAUUUACUGGGUGUAAAGGGAGCGUAGACGGUAAUGCAAGUCUGAAGUGAAAUGCGGGGGCUCAACCCCUGAACUGCUUUGGAAACUGUAUAACUGGAGUGCAGGAGAGGUAAGUGGAAUUCCUAGUGUAGCGGUGAAAUGCGUAGAUAUUAGGAGGAACACCAGUGGCGAAGGCGGCUUACUGGACUGUAACUGACGUUGAGGCUCGAAAGCGUGGGGAGCAAACAGGAUUAGAUACCCUGGUAGUCCACGCCGUAAACGAUGAUUACUAGGUGUUGGUGAGUAUGGACUCAUCGGUGCCGCAGCAAACGCAAUAAGUAAUCCA
rnacentral:rRNA from 1 species